GUCUUGGCUAAGGUGUCUUGGCUAAGGUGUCUUGGCUAAGGUGUCUUGGCUAAUGUGUCUCGGCUAAGGUGUCUUGGCUAAGGUGUCUUGGCUUAGGUGUCUUGGCUAAUGUGUCUUGGCUAAGGUGUCUUGGCUAAGGUGUCUUGGCUAAUGUGUCUUGGCUAAGGUGUCUUGGCUAAGGUGUCUUGGCUAAGGUGUCUUGGCUAAUGUGUCCUGGCUAAUGUGUCUUGGCUAAUGUGUCUCGGCUAAGGUGUCUUGGCUAAUGUGUCUUGGCUAAGGUGUCUUGGCUAAUGUGUCUUGGCUUAUGUGUCUUGGCUAAUGUAUCCUGACUAAUGUGUCUUGGCUAAUGUGUCUUGGCUAAGGUGUCUUGGCUAAGGUGUCUUGGCUAAUGUGUCGUGGCUAAGGUGUCUUGGCUAAGGUGUCUUGGCUAAUGUGUCUUGGCUAAUGUGUCUUGGCUAAGGUGUCUUGGCUAAUGUGUCUUGGCUAAUGUGUCUUGGCUAAGGUGUCUUGGCUAAUGUGUCUUGGCUAAUGUGUCUUGGCUAAGGUGUCUCGGCUAAUGUGUCUUGGCUAAUGUGUCUUGGCUAAGGUGUCUUGGCUAAUGUGUCUUGGCUAAUGUGUCUUGGCUAAGGUGUCUUGGCUAAUGUGUCUUGGCUAAUGUGUCUUGGCUAAGGUGUCUUGGCUAAUGUGUCUUGGCUAAGGUGUCUUGGCUAAGGUGUCUUGGCUAAUGUGUCUUGGCUAAGGUGUCUUGGCUAAUGUGUCUUGGCUAAUGUGUCUCGGCUAAUGUGUCUUGGCUAAAGUGUCUUGGCUAAUGUGUCUUGGCUAAGGUGUCUUGGCUAAUGUGUCUUGGCUAAUGUGUCUCGGCUAAGGUGUCUUGGCUAAGGUGUCUUGGCUAAUGUGUCUUGGCUAAUGUGUCUUGGCUAAGGUGUCUUGGCUAAUGUGUCUUGGCUAAGGUGUCUUGGCUAAUGUGUCUUGGCUUAUGUGUCUUGGCUAAUGUAUCCUGACUAAUGUGUCUUGGCUAAUGUGUCUUGGCUAAGGUGUCUUGGCUAAGGUGUCUUGGCUAAUGUGUCGUGGCUAAGGUGUCUUGGCUAAGGUGUCUUGGCUAAUGUGUCUUGGCUAAUGUGUCUUGGCUAAUGUGUCUUGGCUAAAGUGUCUUGGCUAAGGUGUCUUGGCUAUGGUGUCUUGGCUAAUGUGUCUUGGCUAAGGUGUCUUGGCUAAUGUGUCUUGGCUAAUGUGUCUCGGCUAAUGUGUCUUGGCUAAAGUGUCUUGGCUAAGGUGUCUUGGCUAAGGUGUCUUGGCUAAUGUGUCUUGGCUAAGGUGUCUUGGCUAAUGUGUCUUGGCUAAGGUGUCUUGGCUAAUGUGUCUUGGCUUAUGUGUCUUGGCUUAGGUGUCUUGGCUAAUGUGUCUCGGCUAAGGUGUCUUGGCUAAGGUGUCUUGGCUAAUGUGUCUUGGCUAAUGUGUCUUGGCUAAGGUGUCUUGGCUAAGGUGUCUUGGCUAAGGUGUCUUGGCUAAGGUGUCUUGGCUAAGGUGUCUCGGCUAAGGUGUCUUGGCUAAUGUGUCUUGGCUAAGGUGUCUUGACUAAUGUGUCUUGGCUAAGGUGUCUUGGCUAAUGUGUCUUGGCUAAUGUGUCUUGGCUAAGGUGUCUUGGCUAAUGUGUCUCGGCUAAUGUGUCUUGGCUAAUGUGUCUUGGCUAAGGUGUCUUGGCUAAGGUGUCUUGGCUAAUGUGUUUUGGCUAAGGUGUCUUGGCUAAUGUGUCUUGGCUAAUGUGUCUCGGCUAAUGUGUCUUGGCUAAGGUGUCUUGGCUAAGGUGUCUUGGCUAAUGUGUCUUGGCUAAGGUGUCUUGGCUAAGGUGUCUUGGCUAAUGUGUCUUGGCUAAGGUGUCUCGGCUAAGGUGUCUUGGCUAAUGUGUCUCGGCUAAAGUGUCUUGGCUAAGGUGUCUUGGUUAAGGUGUCUUGGCUAAGGUGUCGUGGCUAAGGUGUCUUGGCUAAGGUGUCUUGGCUAAUGUGUCUUGGCUAAGGUGUCUUGACUAAUGUGUCUUGGCUAAGGUGUCUUGGCUAAUGUGUCUUGGCUAAUGUGUCUUGGCUAAGGUGUCUUGGCUAAUGUGUCUCGGCUAAUGUGUCUUGGCUAAUGUGUCUUGGCUAAGGUGUCUUGGCUAAGGUGUCUUGGCUAAUGUGUUUUGGCUAAGGUGUCUUGGCUAAUGUGUCUUGGCUAAUGUGUCUCGGCUAAUGUGUCUUGGCUAAGGUGUCUUGGCUAAGGUGUCUUGGCUAAUGUGUCUCGGCUAAUGUGUCUUGGCUAAGGUGUCUUGGCUAAGGUGUCUUGGCUAAGGUGUCUUGGCUAAGGUGUCUUGGCUAAUGUGUCUUGGCUAAGGUGUCUUGGCUAAAGUGUCUUGGCUAAUGUGUCUCGGCUAAGGUGUCUUGGCUAAUGUGUCUCGGCUAAGGUGUCUUGGCUAAAGUGUCUUGGCUAAUGUGUCUCGGCUAAGGUGUCUUGGCUAAGGUGUCUUGGCUAAGGUGUCUUGGCUAAG